CCUUCAAAUAAACGGUUUUUUUUUUGUUGGUUUGAUUUCGUUUUCGUCGUUGUUCUCGAUUCCGGUUCUACUGUGAGAGGAGUCAGGAUCGCUGCUGGAGCCAGUGCUGCAGCAAACCAUCUAGCACGGAAUUAGAGCACAACACAACCAUCCACCCACACACACACACACACACACACACAUGCAAUCAAUCACACAAACAGGAAAUUUAGGAAUGCCGUUGCGGUGGUCGCACUUUGCUUAGAAGUUGCACACCGUUUCAAAUCUGUCACCGGUGCCAACUGUAAAGCGGUAAUCAUACACGAAUAAAUCCCAAACAGCCUGCUCGAGCUCUAUAAACUGAUUUCAUCGUUCCAAUAUCGUACUUUGUAGCUGAUUAAGAGAUGGCGUAGCGUAUUACAACUCAUCAUUAUAUUGCUGUCGUGCAAAAAUCUAUAUGAAUGGUCUUGUGGUCAAUUACGUGAGUUGAUCAACACCAGCAAAAAUUACUCAAAUCUCACUUGCUUCAGUACAAAUAGUUAUCAUUGAAGUUUUAGGGGCGCCACAAAAGUGGUCCCUAAUUUUUUAAAGAGACACGCAACACGCUUUGCGAACUACGUUUUUGGUAGAAUUCGAUUUAUUUUUUCCUUUUAAGCCGCGGAACGGUGAGUUCGGGAGAGACGCGAAAAUUAGUGUUGUUCGUUCGAGAGCUGCCGGAGAAGAAGUGUUGGGUAAGCCGGACGGAUAUGCGCGUGUCGAUGUGGAAACGUUUAGGACGAGAGAGAGCGUGUAUGGAGCAAGCCACCGUUUUUAUAGCAGCGGUGCAGCAUGCUAUCACUGUUUGUCCUGCUCUAGCUUUAUGCGCAGUCCCUGCCUAACUAGCCCGUUAAACAUUUUAUGUCGGUAGUUCUAGAUGUGCGCACCAGAUGGCGCUCUGGUCGCUACAAAGUUUAAGUAUUUAAACAAUCGUGUCGCCGUUCUAGUUCUAGCGAUGCAUAACCUCAAUGCAAAACCA